UUAGAUACCCUGGUAGUCCACGCCGUAAACGAUGAUUACUAGGUGUCGGGGACCCAAGGGUCUCCGGUGCCGCCGCAAACGCAUUAAGUAAUCCACCUGGGGAGUACGUUCGCAAGAAUGAAACUCAAAGGAAUUGACGGGGACCCGCACAAGCGGUGGAGCAUGUGGUUUAAUU
rnacentral:rRNA from 1 species